AAUGAACGUUGGCGGCGUGGAUUAGGCAUGCAAGUCGCGCGAGAACCCGCAAGGGGGACAGCGGCGAAAGGGACAGUAAUGUGUAGAUUAUCUGCCCUCAGGUCCGGGAUAGCUGCGGGAAACUGCAGGUAAUACCGGAUAACAUCUCCGGAUCAAAGGUGUGAUUCCGCCUGAGGAUGAGUCUACAUCCUAUUAGCUAGUUGGUAGGGUAAUGGCCUACCAAGGCUGUGAUGGGUAGCGGGUGUGAGAGCACGACCCGCGUCAUUGGGACUGAGACACUGCCCAGACACCUACGGGUGGCUGCAGUCGAGAAUCUUCGGCAAUGGGCGCAAGCCUGACCGAGCGACGCCGCGUGUGGGAUGAAGGCCUUCGGGUUGUAAACCACUGUCAGAGGGGAUGAAAUGCGGGUGGGUUCUCCCAUUCGUUUGACAUAGCCUCAGAGGAAGGACGGGCUAAGUUCGUGCCAGCAGCCGCAGUAAAAC
rnacentral:rRNA from 1 species